rnacentral:rRNA from 1 species
UGGGGAAUAUUGGACAAUGGGCGAAAGCCUGAUCCAGCGACGCCGCGUGUGUGAAGAAGGCCUGCGGGUUGUAAAGCACUUUCGAUGGGAACGAAAUGUGCCGGGUUAAUACCCCGGUAAGCUGACGUUACUCAAUGAAGAAGCACCGGCUAACUCUGUGCCAGCAGCCGCGGUAAUACAGAGGGUGCAAACGUUGCUCGGAAUCAUUGGGCGUAAAGCGCACGUAGGCGGCCUGAUAAGUCGGUAGUGAAAGCCCUCGGCUUAACCGAGGAAGUGCUAUCGAAACUGCCAGGCUUGAGUACCGGAGAGGAUCGCGGAAUUCCCGGUGUAGAGGUGAAAUUCGUAGAUAUCGGGAGGAACGACCAGUGGCGAAGGCGGCGAUCUGGACGGAUACUGACGCUGAGGUGCGAAAGCGUGGGGAGCGAAACAGGAUUAGAUACCCAGGUAGUCCCUGAGCGGGC